rnacentral:rRNA from 1 species
UACGUAGGUGACCAGCGUUGUCCGGAUUUACCGGGCGUAAAGCGCGCGCAGGCGGUCGUUCAAGUCGAGUGUGAAAGCCCCCGGCUCAACUGGGGAGGGUCACUCGAUACUGAUCGACUGGAAGGCAGGAGAGGGAAGCGGAAUUCCCGGUGUAGUGGUGAAAUGCGUAGAUAUCGGGAGGAACACCAGUGGCGAAGGCGGCUUCCUGGCCUGUUCUUGACGCUGAGGCGCGAAAGCUAGGGGAGCAGACGGG